rnacentral:rRNA from 1 species
GAUGAACGCUGGCGGCGUGCUUAACACAUGCAAGUCGAACGGAAAGGCCACAGCUUGCUGUGGUGCUCGAGUGGCGAACGGGUGAGUAACACGUGAGUGAUCUGCCCUGUACUUCGGGAUAAGCUUGGGAAACUGCGUCUAAUACAGGAUACGAACCACAUAUGGGUGUGUGGCUGCAGAGCUUAUGCGGUAUGGGAUGAGCUCGCGGCCUAUCAGCUUGUUGGUGGGGUAAUGGCCCACCAAGGCGUCGACGGGUAGCCGGCCUGAGAGGGUGUACGGCCACACUGGGACUGAGAUACGGCCCAGACUCCUACGGGAGGCAGCAGUGGGGAAUAUUGCACAAUGGGCGCAAGCCUGAUGCAGCGACGCCGCGUGGGGGAUGACGGCCUUCGGGUUGUAAACUCCUUUCAGCAGGGACGAAGCGAAAGUGACGGUACCUGGAGAAGAAGCACCGGCUAACUACGUG